rnacentral:miRNA from 1 species
AUUGUGUAUAUAUACAUUUUAGGUUGGUGCAAAAGUAAUUGCGGACUUUGCCAUUUAAAAGAAAAAAGGCAAAAGCCACAAUUACUUUUGCACCAAUUUAAUACAU